rnacentral:rRNA from 1 species
GCUUCCUACGGGACGCAGCAGUGGGGAAUAUUGGGCAAUGGGCGCAAGCCUGACCCAGCAACGCCGCGUGAAGGAAGAAGGCUUUCGGGUUGUAAACUUCUUUUAUGAGGGACGAAAGAAAUGACGGUACCUCAUGAAUAAGCCACGGCUAACUACGUGCCAGCAGCCGCGGUAAUACGUAGGCGGCAAGCGUUAUCAGGAUUUACUGGGUGUAAAGAGCGUGUAGGCGGGACUGCAAGUCAGAUGUGAAAACUAUGGGCUCAACCCA